rnacentral:rRNA from 1 species
UAGAUGCGAGAGUAGAGCAUAUCAAUAAGCGGAGGAAAAGAAACUAACAAGGAUUCCCUUAGUAACGGCGAGUGAAGCGGGAAGAGCUCAAAUUUGAAAUCUUCAAGGUUUUACCUUGACGAAUUGUAGUUUAAAGAAGUGUUUUCUGUUGGAGUUUUGGUAAAAGUUCUUUGGAAUAGGACAUCAUAGAGGGUGAGAAUCCCGUAUUUGACCGUUACUUUCCAGCUGUGUGAUACACUUCCAAAGAGUCGGAUUGUUUGGGAAUGCAGUCCAAGAUGGGUGGUAAAUUUCAUCUAAAGCUAAAUAUUGGCGAGAGACCGAUAGCGAACAAGUACCGUGAGGGAAAGAUGAAAAGAACUUUGAAAAGAGAGUUAAACAGUACGUGAAAUUGUCAAAAGGGAAGCAUUUGACACCAGUGUUGUUUAGUUGAAAAUCAAUUCAAUAGUUUUUGAUUUUAAGUAGUAUUGACCUUAUCAGCUUGCUGCUUUUUUCUCAGAAAUUAUUGAAUGCACUUUUCAGUUAACAAGUCAACAUCAAUUUCUUUUGUUGUAAAAGGUAAGAGGAAGGUGGCUUGCGCUUCGGCUCAAGUGUUUAUAGCCUUUUAUCUCCUGCAAUCGGAGAGAUUGAGGUCUGCAGCGUAGAUCCUUCGGGGUUAGAUACAUUGGUGCUAAGCUAUAGCCUUGUAUAGACAACUUGUUGACUAUGCUCAGUCAUGUAGCUUACUCGCUGAUGCUACUUUACCUACGCUUAGGAUGUUGAUAGUCACAGCGUGUAC